UCGCGGCUUAUCACCGGCAGUCCCCUUAGAGUGCCCAACUAAAUGAUGGCAACUAAGGGCGAGGGUUGCGCUCGUUGCGGGACUUAACCCAACAUCUCACGGCACGAGCUGACGACAGCCAUGCAGCAUCUGUGCACGCUCCCUCGCGGGUCCCGUCUCUUACGAGUUGGUACCACGUGCAUGUCAAGCCGAGGUAAGGUUCUGCGCGUUGCAUCGAAUUAAUCCACAUCAUCCACCGCUUGUGCGGGUCCCCGUCAAUUCCUUUGAGUUUUAACCUUGCGGCCGUACUCCCCAGGCGGGCAACUUCACGCGUUAGCUACGGUACUGAGAAAUCGCUUCCCCAACACCCAGUUGCCAUCGUUUAGGGCGUGGACUAC
rnacentral:misc_RNA from 1 species